UACGGAGGUGACAAGCGUUGUCCGGAUUUACUGGGCGUAAAGAGCGCGCAGGCGGUCGUUCAAGUCGAGUGUGAAAGCCCCCGGCUCAACUGGGGAGGGUCAUUCGAUACUGAUCGACUCGAAGGCAGGAGAGGGUAGUGGAAUUCCCGGUGUAGUGGUGAAAUGCGUAGAUAUCGGGAGGAACACCAGUGGCGAAGGCGACUACCUGGCCUGUUCUUGACGCUGAGGCGCGAAAGCUAGGGGAGCAAACGGG
rnacentral:rRNA from 1 species